rnacentral:lncRNA from 1 species
AGGCGGACAAGUGUUAGAUAAUAAGGAGUGCAGAGAAUGGGCAGACUAGAGACCCCACUUCUAAUCAUAGCUCCAGCUACUGUUUACAGGAGGGAAAGCAGACACAGUGUUUUCAGACCUCCCAAGUUUUGAAAGAGGCUGGAAGUCUAAUUCAGUUUAUUUAACACCAUGGACCCAAGCAACAUGUGUGUGAGGCCCAAAUUGAAAUUAUGGACUAGAUGCUUGUGACUUUGAUUUAAGUGCAUCACCACAGCUGCUUACUCAGAUUCCAUGGUUAUCCUGAUGCUGUUGGACUUGGGAAUGUGUGCGCUCUUGGAGGUGAUGGUGCAAGUGAGAGAUGUGGGACAGAGGCGACUUGUCAUCCAAGGGGGUGAUGUGCAACUAAUUAAAGGCAGACUGGCAGCGUCUGCAAAUUCUAAGGCUCCCCAAAUAAAAAGAGACUGUUGUAACAGUUGGAGGAUAAUGCAAAGGAAGACGCUGCCUGGGAAUUCACCGUCUGUGGAAAUGCGCCCCAGAGAGGAAUAAAGCAGUCCUCACCUUGCUCUCCCCACCUGGACCCACUUUCCCCUCCCGCCUCGGCCCCCACCCCAACAUCACCAUCACCCCC